rnacentral:rRNA from 1 species
UACGGAGGAUGCAAGCGUUAUCCGGAAUGAUUGGGCGUAAAGGGUCCGCAGGUGGCAGUGUAAGUCUGCUGUCAAAGAAUGAGGCUUAACCUCAUCAAGGCAGUGGAAACUACACAGCUAGAGUACGGUCGGGGUAGAAGGAAUUCCUGGUGUAGCGGUGAAAUGCGUAGAGAUCAGGAAGAACACCGGUGGCGAAGGCGGCAUCCUGGACCGACAUUGACGCUGAUGAGCGAAAGCUAGGGGAGCAAACGGG